GAUAUAAAACUGCGACCAUAGUCAGCGGUAGUUGCGCACAGCACGUGUGCAAUGGCAGCCGCCAUGUCAAGGCGAGGCGUCACGCGAGGCGUGCGUGCGUGUUAGUGAAUUAACGAUGUGUUUUUAAGGAACCCGUGGUGUUAGCGCCUGCGCAAUCUCAUUCGUGGAGUAGUAUAUUUGGAUAGUUUUAUCUAUGGCUGCUGUUGUGACCCCAAGGCAACUGUUUUACCCCUGUCCUUCGCGGCUUUGUGGAUCUAUCAGCGUGCAUCGAUGUGCAGUGUUCUCCCCGGCGCCGAUUUACCAUUUCGAGGUUUUUUUAACCACUUCCUCAAAAGGACGCCCUUUGGUCGAAGUCAACGAAAAGCUCUCAAUCAAGAUUGCUGACCUGACGAAGAUCUCGAAGGAGGAAUCUGUAAAAAUACAUGCUGUGCUAAUAAAUGCUUUUAGCAAUUUUA